CCAAUAGCGUAUAUUAAAGUUGUUGCAGUUAAAAAGCUCGUAGUUGAAUUUCGGGAUUGACACAUCGGUCGUGCCUUAAGGGGUAUGAACUGGUGUAGUCAAUUUCUCACCUUCUGGAGAACCGCGAUGCCCUUAAUUGGGUGUCGCGGGGAACCAGGACCUUUACUUUGAAAAAAUUAGAGUGUUUAAAGCAGGCAUUUUGCUUGAAUACAUUAGCAUGGAAUAAUAAAAUAGGACGGCAUGAUUCUAUUUUGUUGGUUUCUAGGAUCACCGUAAUGAUUAAUAGGGAUAGUUGGGGGCAUUAGUAUUCAAUUGUCAGAGGUGAAAUUCUUGGAUUUAUUGAAGACUAACUACUGCGAAAGCAUUUGCCAAGGUUGUUUUCAUUAAUCAAGAACGAAAGUUAGGGGAUCGAAGACGAUCAGAUACCGUCGUAGUCUUAACCAUAAACUAUGCCGACUAGGAAUCAGACGAUGUUAAUUUUUUAAUGACUCGUUUGGCACCUUACG
rnacentral:rRNA from 1 species